rnacentral:rRNA from 1 species
AUUGAACGCUGGCGGCAGGCCUAACACAUGCAAGUCGAGCGGAUGAAGAGUGCUUGCUCCUGGAUACAGUGGCCGACGGGCGUGUAAUGCAUAAGAAUAUGCCUCGCAGCGGGGGAUAACGCCAGAAAACGGGUGCUAAUACCGCAUACGCCCUGACGGAGUAUGUGGGGGAUCUUCGGACCUCACGCCCUCAUAUGAGUCUAGGUCGGGAUUGCUAUUUGGAGGGGUAAAGGCCUACCAAGGCGGAGAUUCGUAAAUGGCCUGAUAGGAUGAUCAGUGACACUGGAAGUGAGACACGGGCCAGACGCCUACGGUAGGCAGCAGUCGAGAAGAUUGGACAGUAGGCGGAAGCCUGAUCCAGCCGUGCGGCGUGUAUGAAGAAGGCCUUCGGAGUGUAAAGCACUCUGAGUUGGAUGAAAGGGCAGUAAGUUAAUACCGCGGUGUGUUGACGUUACCUACAGAAUAAGCACCGGCUAACUGCGUG